AUAACUGGCUUGCUGCGGCCAAGCAUUUGUAGCGACGUCUCCUUGUGAUCCUUUAACAUUGGCUCUGUCCAUCAUUGUGAAGCAGAAAUCACUAAGUAUUGGAUACUUCACCCACAAUGGGGAGAAAAGGAAUUGAGUUUAGAACAAGUU
rnacentral:ncRNA from 1 species